rnacentral:misc_RNA from 1 species
AAUCCUCAAAAGAAAAGCUUAACUGUUUCUCUUUUGGAAUUGGAGUGUGCUGGCCUCUCUCUUGUUAGAAAAGCCCAGCUCCUCUGAAAUGCAUUAGCGAUGUGACGUCCGCGUGGCACCACGCUUCUCUGGCAUUGAUAGUAUCUUCAUGCCUGAGCGUGUCGUGCAGCUGUGGAAAGUUUCGCUCGCUCAUAACCGAUGGGUCAGGCCCAUCCUUUGACCA